AUACGGAGGGUGCGAGCGUUAAUCGGAAUUACUGGGCGUAAAGCGUACGUAGGCGGUUUGCUAAGUCAGAUGUGAAAGCCCCGGGCUUAACCUGGGAACUGCAUUUGAUACUGGCAGACUAGAGUAUGAUAGAGGGGGGUAGAAUUCCUGGUGUAGCGGUGAAAUGCGUAGAUAUCAGGAGGAAUACCAGUGGCGAAGGCGGCCCCCUGGAUCAAUACUGACGCUGAGGUACGAAAGCGUGGGGAGCGAACAGGAUUAGAUACCCGAGUAGUCC
rnacentral:rRNA from 1 species